GACGUACGCUGGCGGCGUGCCUAACACAUGCAAGUCGAGCGGAGAUAAUAGCAAUAUUAUCUUAGCGGCGGACGGGUGAGUAACGCGGGGGUAACCUGCCUUAUACAGGGGGAUAACGCAGGGAAACUUGUGCUAAUACCGCAUAAUACCAUUGGGCGGCAUCAUGUGAUGGUCAAAGGAGUAAUCCGGUAUAAGAUGGACCCGCGUCCGAUUAGCUAGUUGGAGGUGUAACGGACCAACAAGGCGACGAGCGGUAGCCGAACUGAGAGGUUGAUCGGCCACAUUGGGACUGAGACACGGCCCAGACUCCUACGGGAGGCAGCAGUGGGGAAUAUUGCGCAAUGGGGGAAACCCUGACGCAGCAACGCCGCGUGAAGGAUGAAGGUUUUCGGAUUGUAAACUUCUUUAGUCGGGGACGAACAAAUGACGGUACCCGAAGAAUAAGCCACGGCUAACUACGUGCCAGCCGCCGCGGUAAGAC
rnacentral:rRNA from 1 species